rnacentral:lncRNA from 1 species
UAUAAAAACAUAACCCUUUAUUAUGUUUAACAUGAAACUCCAUUACAGGAAAGAACAAUAAUCAUUUGACGUAACUCGAAAAGUAAACAAACAAACAAAAACAAAAUAUAUAGGGAUACGAACACUUGGACAGUUAAUCAUAAUUUAUUGUGGGAUUCUUUGUUCAUGGGUUUCUAGGGUCUUCAAUAGAGAGGAUUCUUUAUGAACUAUAUACCUUCUCN